rnacentral:rRNA from 1 species
UUCCUCAAUCGAGUGGCGAACGGGUGAGUAACGCGUGAGGAACCUGCCUCAAAGAGGGGGACAACAGUUGGAAACGACUGCUAAUACCGCAUAAGCCCACGGGUCGGCAUCGACCAGAGGGAAAAGGAGCAAUCCGCUUUGAGAUGGCCUCGCGUCCGAUUAGCUAGUUGGUGGGGUAACGGCCCACCAAGGCAACGAUCGGUAGCCGGACUGAGAGGUUGAACGGCCACAUUGGGACUGAGACACGGCCCAGACUCCUACGGGAGGCAGCAGUGGGGAAUAUUGCACAAUGGGGGAAACCCUGAUGCAGCGACGCCGCGUGGAGGAAGAAGGUCUUCGGAUUGUAAACUCCUGUUGUUGAGGAAGAUAAUGACGGUACUCAACAAGGAAGUGACGGCUAACUACGUGCCAGCAGCCGCGGUAAAACGUAGGUCACAAGCGUUGUCCGGAAUUACUGGGUGUAAAGGGAGCGCAGGCGGGAAGACAAGUUGGAAGCGAAAUCUAUGGGCUCAACCCAUAAACUGCUUCAAAA